CGGUGGAGCAUGUGGUUUAAUUCGAAGCAACGCGAAGAACCUUACCAGGCCUUGACAUGCAGAGAACUUUCCAGAGAUGGAUUGGUGCCUUCGGGAACUCUGACACAGGUGCUGCAUGGCUGUCGUCAGUUCGUGUCGUGAGAUGUUGGGUUAAGUCCGUAACGAGCGCAACCCUUGUCCUUAGUUACCAGCACGUUAUGGUGGGCACUCUAAGGAGACUGCCGGUGACAAACCGGAGGAAGGUGGGGAUGACGUCAAGUCAUCAUGGCCCUUACGGCCUGGGCUACACACGUGCUACAAUGGUCGGUACAAAGGGUUGCCAAGCCGCGAGGUGGAGCUAAUCCCAUAAAACCGAUCGUAGUCCGGAUCGCAGUCUGCAACUCGACUGCGUGAAGUCGGAAUCGCUAGUAAUCGUGAAUCAGAAUGUCACGGUGAAUACGUUCCCGGGCCUU
rnacentral:rRNA from 1 species